ensembl:misc_RNA Y_RNA Y RNA
GGCUGAUCAGAUGGUAGUGGAUUAUCAAAAUUUAUUAACACUAGUGUCAAUGUACUUGCUAUACAACCCCCACACUGCCAAAUUUGAUUGUCUUAA